CUACGGGCGGCACCAGUGAGGAAUAUUGCACAAUGGGGGGAACCCUGAUGCAGCAACGCCGCGUGGAGGAUGACGCAUUUCGGUGUGUAAACUCCUUUUAUAUGUCAAGAAAAUGACGGUAGCAUAUGAAUAAGCACCGGCUAACUCCGUGCCAGCAGCCGCGGUAAUACGGAGGGUGCAAGCGUUACUCGGAAUCACUGGGCGUAAAGGACGCGUAGGCGGGUUGGAAAGUCAGGUGUGAAAUCUUACAGCUUAACUGUAGAACUGCACUUGAAACUUCUAAUCUAGAGUAUGGGAGGGGGAGAUGGAAUUAGUGGUGUAGGGGUAAAAUCCGUAGAUAUCACUAGGAAUACCUAAAGCGAAGGCGAUCUCCUGGAACAUUACUGACGCUAAGGCGUGAAAGCGUGGGGAGCAAACAGGAUAGAUACCCUUGUAGUC
rnacentral:rRNA from 1 species